GCUUGUUUGGGGAGCAAAAGUCGGGCUGAUACAGAGAAUAUUAGCAUGACCCCUGGGUAAGGAGGGCCUGCAAGUUCAUGAAACAUUUCGCUUUUUU
rnacentral:snRNA from 1 species